rnacentral:rRNA from 1 species
UGGGGAAUUUUGGACAAUGGGCGAAAGCCUGAUCCAGCAAUGCCGCGUGUGUGAAGAAGGCCUUCGGGUUGUAAAGCACUUUUGUCCGGAAAGAAAUCCUUGGCUCUAAUACAGUCGGGGGAUGACGGUACCGGAAGAAUAAGCACCGGCUAACUACGUGCCAGCAGCCGCGGUAAUACGUAGGGUGCAAGCGUUAAUCGGAAUUACUGGGCGUAAAGCGUGCGCAGGCGGUUUGCUAAGACCGAUGUGAAAUCCCCGGGCUCAACCUGGGAACUGCAUUGGUGACUGGCAGGCUAGAGUAUGGCAGAGGGGGGUAGAAUUCCACGUGUAGCAGUGAAAUGCGUAGAGAUGUGGAGGAAUACCGAUGGCGAAGGCAGCCCCCUGGGCCAAAUACUGACGCUCAUGCACGAAAGCGUGGGGAGCAAACAGGAUUAGAUACCCUGGUAGUCCACGCCCUAAAACGAUGUCAACUAGUUGUUGGGGAUUCAUUUCCUUAGUAACGUAGCUAACGCGUGAAGUUGACC